rnacentral:rRNA from 1 species
GAUGAACGCUAGCUACAGGCUUAACACAUGCAAGUCGAGCGGUAUGUGCUUUAGUGCAUACAGCGGCAGACGGGUGAGUAACACGUAUCUAACCUUCCCCUUACUUGGGCAUAGCCUCUGGAAACGGAGAUUAAUUUCCGAUGUGGUGUACAUUUCGCAUGUUUUGCGCACCAAAGAUUUAUCGGUAAGGGAUGGGGAUGCGCUCCAUUAGGUUGUAGGUAGGGUAAUGGCCUACCUAGCCUAUGAUGGAUAGGGGUUCUGAGAGGAAGGUCCCCCACAUUGGAACUGCGACACGGUCCAAACUCCUACGGGAGGCAGCAGUGAGGAAUAUUGGUCAAUGGCCGGAAGGCUGAACCAGCCAAGUAGCGUGCAGGAUGACUGCCUUAUGGGUUGUAAACUGCUUUUUUACGGGAAUAAUUAUGAUCACGUGUGAUUAUUUGCAUGUACCGUAAGAAUAAGGAUCGGCUAACUCCGUGCCAGCAGCCGCGGUAAUACGGAGGAUCCUAGUGUUAUCCGGAUUUAUUGGGUUUAAAGGGAGCGUAGGCGGGAGGUCAAGUCAGCUGUGAAAUGUAUCUGCUUAACGGGUACACUGCAGUUGAAACUGGUUUUCUUGAGUGCGUAAGAGGCAGGCGGAAUUCGUUGUGUAGCGGUGAAAUGCUUAGAUAUGACGAGGAACUCCUAUUGCGAAGGCAGCUUGCUGGGUCGUUACUGACGCUGAUGCUCGAAGGUGCGGGGAUCAAA